GACGAACCGUGCAAACGUUGUUCGGAAUCACUGGGCUUAAAGGGCGCGUAGGCGGGUUCGCAAGUCUGUGGUGAAAGCCCCCAGCUUAACUGGGGAAGUGCCAUGGAUACUGCGAGUCUCGAGGAGGGUAGGGGCAUCUGGAACAGUAGGUGGAGCGGUGAAAUGCGUUGAUAUCUACUGGAACUCCGGUGGCGAAGGCGAGGUGCUGGACCCCUUCUGACGCUGAUGCGCGAAAGCCAGGGGAGCAAACGGG
rnacentral:rRNA from 1 species